CCCUUAGAUGUUCUGGGCUGCACGCGCGCUACACUGACGCACGCAACAGGUGCCUGCUCCGAGAGGACUGGGUAAUCAUUUGAGUGUGCGUCGUGAUGGGGAUAGAAUAUUGUAAUUAUUACUCUUCAACGAGGAAUUCCUAGUAAGCGCCAGUCAGCAGCUUGCGCUGGUUACGUCCCUGCCCUUUGUACACACCGCCCGUCGCUCCUACCGAUGGGUGAUCCGGUGAAUGAUUCGGACUUCAGCGGCUCCCCUGGGGUGCGCCGGAGAAAGUUUUGUGAACCUUAUCACUUGGAGGAAGGAGAAGUCGUAACA
rnacentral:rRNA from 1 species